rnacentral:rRNA from 1 species
GACGAUGGGGGCUAGCGUUGUUCGGAAUUACUGGGCGUAAAGCGCGUGUAGGCGGUUGUUCAAGUCAGGUGUGAAAGCCUUGAGCUCAACUCAAGAAAUGCACUUGAUACUGGAUGACUAGAGGACCGGAGAGGAUAGUGGAAUUCCCAGUGUAGUGGUGAAAUACGUAGAGAUUGGGAAGAACACCAGUGGCGAAGGCGGCUAUCUGGACGGUUUCUGACGCUAAGACGCGAAAGCGUGGGGAGCAAACAGG